UACGUAGGGUGCAAGCGUUGUCCGGAAUUAUUGGGCGUAAAGAGCUCGUAGGCGGUUUGUCGCGUCUGCUGUGAAAACUCGGGGCUUAACCCCGGGCCUGCAGUGGGUACGGGCAGACUAGAGUGCGGUAGGGGAGACUGGAAUUCCUGGUGUAGCGGUGAAAUGCGCAGAUAUCAGGAGGAACACCGUUAGCGAAGGCGGCGACCUGGGCUCAUUCUGACGCUGAGGCGCGAAAGCGUGGGGAGCGAACGGA
rnacentral:rRNA from 1 species